GUCUGUAUGAUGAUAAGACGCAAAGCUCGAUUAAAAAUACGAAGCCUUACUAGGUUGGUCGCAUUUCAAGUGCUUUGCGCAGGCGUCAAAGAACAGGACUCGCAGGAUCUCGGAUGACAGAUCUUCGGACAAUGUUUCUUGCAGUUUAACGUUUUAUUACAAAUAUCACAGCAAAAUAUAUCUGCGACAUUGACGUAGCAAAUAUGGUGCCAAUAUGAUGCAAAUGCCGAUCGGAAUGUGUUGGAAACGAUGCGCAAUAUUAAAUAUUAGUUCCUCAUUUCCGGUUGUCAUAACCAUGAGAGCGCCACAAAUGCUGAUAACGCAAAAACCAUGGCCCUGAGUCAGACGCAAUCGGCAAUGCAAAAAAUAAUCAUGUAGCGAAAUGUCGUUUUCAAACGUAUAAUUUAAUAAAUUAUUUAUUUAAUUAA